AGAUAGAGGAAGGGACCAUGAGCCAAGGAGUAUAGGUGGCCUCUGGAAACUGGAAAAGAUAAGGAACUGAUUUUCCCCUAGAGCCUGAAGGAGCUCAGACUGGCUGGUACCUUGAUUUUGGGCUGUGAGACCUGUGCCCGACUUCUGACUUCUAGGACUAUAAGAGGAAGGGAAGGUUGCAGAACAUUGAAGAGAUGCCCAAACGCUGAAAAGCUAUAGGCGCCUUCAACUUACUAAGGAAUUAUGUUGCAACUAAGAGAAACUUAAGAGCUCCCUCCCUUGCUUGAGACCUGUGGGGCUUGACAUCUGGGAGCACUCUGAUGAAGAAAUGGAGAUUUUUGAGAGACUGAGUAAUUUGCCUAAAGUCGUAUAAAAUGAAAAAACAGGAUUCAGACUAAAGUGUGGUGCAGCUCGAAGGAGCCCUGCGGGAUGGACGGAAGACACUAGUGCUCAAGAAGCCAGGAGGCCAGCUGCCUGCAUCCUUCCAGCCAACGUUCACCCCGAGACCCUGCGAGUUUUCUGGAAUCCUGACUCUUCCACCGAGAACCUCUCCGGAGCAGCACUUCCCGAAGUAUAAUCAGCGGUGUGACAAAGGCUGCUCUUGAUCUGUCACAGCUUUGGUUUUCUCACCCAUAAAACAUGGACAAUGGGAACUAAUAUAGUGAUUUGAGGAUUCAAUGAGAUAAUACUUGGGCUGAGCUGCCAGGAACUAUUGGCUCCCGUUGCUAGCCCCUCUUUAAUGGUCAGAAGAUACAACAGAUCCUUGGGUUCCUGUAACAUCCUUUUCUCCACCCUCUUUUCUACCUAUUUAUCUCCUUUGUUUUAAAAUCCCAUUCAAGCCCCACCUCCUCUCUGAGACUUCUCUGCAAUGUCUGCCUAGCCUCGUGAACUCCUGGGAUUUCUUAGAGCAGAGUGGCUCUGGCUGAGCCAACAUUCAGAAUGAUCAUGUGGGGCUCCUCCGUGUCCUUAGGAUGCUCAAGUGCCAAGUCAUCCUUUUCUGAGUUAAGUCACUGAUCUUGAAGGUUGUCCAGCCUCCUCCUUGAGGUCCAUGCUGGCCAAAGAGUCAGCUGGGAAGUCUGCCUGAGCCUUUGGGCUAAUGUCUGUCAUAGAACAACCUUUGCUGAUGGUUUGGAGAGCUCACAUUUUGGCCACAGAGAAUGGGCAGUGCUUACUCUAUAGUGGCAGGAUGUGCUCCCAGGAUGGAUGGCUGCAUGACAAGUGUCCACCUCCAGUUCCCUAGCAAAUCGCUGGCAGUGCCCUUUCUUUCUACAAGGCACAGGAUAGGCGGUCCCUUCCUUCUCUCUCCCAAGGUAAUUACUAGUGCUUUCCCAUAACCCACAGCUAAACCAACUCUUCUCCAAAUCUCAUAAAUACAAAUGACAGGGAGGAGGCUAGGGCCGUGGGGACAGUACUCGUUGUCUGUGGUGUUGUCACCUUCUGUUACCCAGGUGCAUGGCCUGGCUUUCAUUCAGUGCUCCAUGUUCCUGGCACACGAAGGACCUUAGUGUGGUCUGCUGGGGCAAGCUGGCUUCCUGCUUGUGUCAGUGCUGUGUUAGCAAGAUAUUUCCGCCACCCGGGAGGCAGCCAAUACCCCCUGGCUGAGGCUUGAGAUGUCCUUUUGUUCCUUACCACUCGGCCCUGGGAACAGUUGUCUUCUGACAGGCUUAUCAUGCACAGCCUGUUCUCAUUGUUCUGUAGCUCUUGCCAGAGAAAGAAUAGUGACCUGUCCUUUCCUGGUCUCCCUCUCUCCAGGAGUACCUAUGAGAAGCCCACAGGGGGGCAAUCAAUAAAUAUUUGCUAAGUGAAUUGGAUAGAUGGAAUGGCUUUUGGAUCACUUACCCACUUAUAAAAGUUCUUCAGGUGGCGGGGAGUCUGACCAAUAGAAGCGAUACUGAAAAGUGACCUGCAGCACCUAGAAACCUUUCUUUACUUGUCACUCCUGUGUGGUGGAUGACUGGAGGGUUGGCUGGGAUGGAGCCGUAGGGCCUAGCGCCACAGGGUCAGGGGAUGUCGGGGAAGUUGGCAGGUGCCAUUUCUUUCCAAAAGUUGCCUGGUGUUAGCCCCUGAACGAGGCACAUUAGCUGCAUUAUUUCAUCUCAUCUGCCCAGCUGCCUCCUUAGGAGGAAAUAUUGCCUUGCUUUCCUGGUGAAGGAGCCAAGGCUCAGAGAGAGGAAGUCACCUGCUUGAGGUCACGCAGGCAGGGAAGGGCAGAGCCAAAGUUAGGAGUUAUGGCCAAGCUUCUGCUGUUCCCAUUAUCCCACAGCUGGGGGGCUCCUGCACUCAGGGGGACAUCUAGGUGAACAAGACCCUUCUGGGAUGCCUCACUCUGGACUCUUCAAAGAAAGAUUCAGAAAUCCUUAGAUUUGCAGGGCAUUUGAGCAUUUUGAGAAUGAUUUUACCCCCACUCUUUCAUUUGCCCCUUACAGUAAUUAGUCUCCUAUGAGCUCCAUGUCACCAGUAAGAAACUGAGGUAUGAAGAGACCGAGGUUUGACGUAUCCCUCAGGGCAGCUGAUCGUGAAUCCAGAGCUCUUUUCACUGGGUUUCAGAGGAAACAAAGCAUUUUUAUAAAGUACAGUUGACCCUUGAACAAGGCAGGUUUGAACUGCGUGCGUCCCCUUCUAUGCAGGUUUAAAAAAAUAAAUAUAUUGGAAAAAUUGGGGGAGGUUUGAGAUGAUUUGAAAAGACUCUCAGAUGAACUGUGUGGCUUAGAAGUCUUGAAAAAUUUUAAGAAAAAUUUAGAUAUUAUUGUAAGAAACAUCACCACUUAUUUGUUGCUUUUGGAACAUUGUCACGUCCCACGGCCAUUGUCACUGGGCCAUCCCCCCCAUUCUAUGAGGCCAUGUGUUCCUGAAUGAAGGGCAUCUGGGAAGACCACUGAAUCCUGUGAGCAUGUAGCCUUACUGCUUUUCCCAUGAAAUAACCUUCUUUGACAGAAGCAAUGUUGUGUGGGAUAUGAUGAUGAUGAAUAAAGCAUUAAGUCCACAGAGAAUACUAAAGAAGUCCCUAGAAACAUAGAAGGCAGGGAAGACAAAUCCAUGUCUCAAACCAGCAUCUAUUACAGCGAGCACAAAUUCUGUUCAACAACCCAACAAUUAAACGCCCCAGAUUGUUUCUCUACUCCUAAAUAUGGAAUGUAAAAUGUUUCUGAUUACAGCUAUGGAAGUUCAAGAUAGCCGUGCAUAUGGUUUAGGCUUGGGAGACACACUGUCUCAGUGGGGCCUUGAAUGAUGGACUGAUAAUUCUGUUCCUGUCCUCAAGCCAACCCUUUCCCCUCUUUGCUUUUGCUUUUUCGAACCAUCACCACUUUUCCGCAACUCCCAGCUCAGCUCUUUCCUUCUCAUUCUCUGACGAUGACCUUUCUUUCCUUCUUCAGGAAAGACGCCGAAGCUCUUCGGCCAGAACUCCCACAUAUCAAGUUACCUUGGGCUGCUUGUCUGCAAGAUUCAGAGAAGUAGGAACCUAAAAAUUCCACCCAAAUUCUUAAUUCCCCUCUCUUUCACGGUCCUGCUCCAUCAACUAUCCCCUUUGGGAUUGUCAUGCUCACCACGUCCCUAGGCUUCUGACUCCCAUAUUGUUCAUCUGCAGAUUUCAGCCACCUUAAGCAAUGCCAACACUCAGCUGGGGAACCUCCCUUGAUCCCUCAUGGCCUUCUAAUAACAACCGACUCCUUCCUCCUGGUGAAAGCUUUUCAAAAGAAGGCUCUAUUAUAGCCAUGUCUGCCUCCUCACUUCUUUUUCACUCCUCAGCCUAUAGAAGUAAGUUCUUGAUUCCUCUCUCUUCUCUGAAACUGCUCAGAUCACAAAUUUCGGCCCCACAAUGUAGUGGCCAAACUCAAUGGCCACUGACACCCUUAUCUCAUUUGCUAUCUCUGUGGUGGCUGACAGUGUGGACUUCUCCCUUCUCUCUCCUCCCAUGACAUCAGUGACUCCUUAGCCAUCUGGUUUUCCUCUUGUUUCUUUCCAUCCAUGUAGCUUCUCUUCUCCCUACCCACCUCCUUCCUGUCUUCUUUGGAAUUGCCGCUCCCAGCCCUUUUCUCUUGUUCCUCUUGCAGUCCCUGAGUAAUCUGCAUUCACUCCAGAGUUGUUGUUCUGUUGUUUUUUGAACUGUCCCCACAUGUCGAUGACUCUCAAGUCUAUGCUUUUGGCACUGACUUCAUUCAUGAAGCUCAGACCCAUGUAUCUAAUCAACUCCAUAGACACCCCACCGUUAACAAGGCUCAAACUGAAAUCAUCUCCCUUAGCUCUGCUUCCUACCCCACCAAGGACCGACCAUGUUGUCAGAGAAAGCAACGCACAGGCUGGAUGACACGGUCUAGAGGACACUGACUCGAGGACACAGGUGUGAGGACACAGAAGGAAGAAGAAUUUAGGACAGGGAGCACUUCUAGAGGAGCGGGAGGUGAGGCCACAGCUGAGUGUGAAGAUGUGAAAAAAGGGCAGAGACCUCAUGCCUCCAGCAGUGCUGACUGAUUUAAUGGACUGAAGGGGCAGAGGCCAGGAGGUCAUCUGGUGAAAUGGUGUGGGGAAUGUCUUGGGGGUGGGGUUGGCACUGUGCAGUGCUGAAAGGCCACCACAUGAGUGUCCAAGAGUAACCAGCCCCGAGCUUAUGAUAAGAUUCGACAGUGGAAGCACCAAAGACUCUGGAUGUUGGGCCCUCUUUACUGGAACUUUCUAAGAGGGACCAGGCCAAUGGAAAGGGCUUUGAAACUCAGCAGAUGCUCCCGUUGCUUUCUGUAUGGGAGACUUGAAUCUCCACUGAGUAAGUAUGGGGCUCUUGGAGGGCAGGCAGCAUAACACUUACAUUUCGUGCAAUUCCUUUACCACCGAAUAACAUGCUAGGCCCACUAUGGGGUCUUUGAUAAAUAAUAUUUGGAAAGGGCUGUGUGUGUUUUAUUCCUAACACCUGCUCUCUAUCAUCUCUGUUCCUUUCUCUGAGCUGAUAACAUUUGCCAUCGGCAUUGGGAAAUGGCUGGGAGUGGGGAGUUGGUAAGAAGGAGGAGGAAAGAAGAGAAAAUAUACUACUGCAGGCUUGAGAAUUUCUCUUUUGUAAACUUAAUGGGAAGAUCUGGAUUUUUACUGGAAAACAUUAAAAAAAAGGAAAAACACACGUAUUCCGGGGUUUUAGUUACAGUGCUAGAUUUGUACAACAGACAAAACCAUCAUCGAAAAUUCUAGCACCUCCACCUAGUGUCAAGUUCUCAGCCCAUGACCCUGAGAAUGGAGUCAGCCGUAUUCAGAGAAGUUGCUGCCUCUCAAAUCACCUUGUUGUCACCAUUUUAAUGGUGCAUCUGCCUCUACGGAGCACAGAUGGCAUUUGCCUCUACAUGAACGGCACAGAAUUUCAUUUUGCUCAUUUCCUAUUACUACAUUGGCUUCACUUUAUCACCCUUUAUCGCAGCCCACUCUUGUCCUGCCCAAAGCAAUCUGCAUAACUCUGUUAAAGGUGAGAUCGGUUUCUGAUUUUUAUCUCCAAAUUGUGAAAGGAGAGUUGGCAUUAAGGAGCCUUAAGUCCUUCCUCUAAAUGUGUGUUAAAUGCACGGCACGGUGAGUAGUGAUUUCAUCUUAUAAAUUAUGGAGCAAUGGACUUAAAUGAUCGGACUUGUGGGAGAAGGGUGUAAAAUGAGUUGCAAGUUAAUUGUUUAGCUAAGAGUUAACUUCUCUCUUAUCUCCUCUGUAACCCAUUUCCUUCCUCUAGACAUGGCUCCUGGUGAGCAAUCAGUGCUUCUGUCGCCCUGCCUGACAGUGGCUGGGCUGCUUCUGGAGAACCAUGGUAAUGGCACUAGUACCUUGUACAAAUCAUGUCAUGGGCACAGCAUUGUCUUGCCCCAGAAUGCUUGGCUGCUCGUGGUCCUCAUGGCCCUCCAACUCUCCUGGGGUGGGGCAGCCUUAAAUGGAACCCAAAUGGAACCCCGUCCCAGAAGAGCCACACUGUGACACAAUCCAAGUCUUAACCCUGCCCUUGUCAGAGGGUAAGAAAAGCUUGGGGGGAAGAAAAACAUCUCCCAGCCUUCUGCAGUCACACUAUGUAAUUCUCACCUUAUUUACUUGGGUUGCUACCUGUGAAAUCUCUUCAGUUCAGGUCAGCCAGCAUUUUCUUGAAAGCCCUAAUAAGUGCCAGACACUAGGCGAAGAGCUAGGGAUACAGAGUCUCAGCUUUUCAGGGAAAGAAAACAGAAUGGUAGCUAAGAAAUCAUGACGCUAUUAAUGGAUAAUCAGUACCAUUAUAAGACAGGUAAACGAGAGGACUAUUUUGGCCUGGGGUGCCUAAGCAGCUACCACAGAGGUAGUGGCAUUUAAAGGAGGAAUAGAAUUUUCUUAGCAAACAAUGUGUGUGUGUGUGUGGGGGUGCCAUUUAAUUAAUUAAUUAAUUAACCCACUUA